GUGGGGGACAACGUUUCGAAAGGAACGCUAAUACCGCAUACGUCCUACGGGAGAAAGCAGGGGACCUUCGGGCCUUGCGCUAUCAGAUGAGCCUAGGUCGGAUUAGCUAGUAGGUGAGGUAAUGGCUCACCUAGGCGACGAUCCGUAACUGGUCUGAGAGGAUGAUCAGUCACACUGGAACUGAGACACGGUCCAGACUCCUACGGGAGGCAGCAGUGGGGAAUAUUGGACAAUGGGCGAAAGCCUGAUCCAGCCAUGCCGCGUGUGUGAAGAAGGUCUUCGGAUUGUAAAGCACUUUAAGUUGGGAGGAAGGGCAGUAAGUU
rnacentral:rRNA from 1 species